AUGGCAACUGGGUCAGGGCGUCCAGAGUAUUCCUGAGAGUUCUCUGCAGUAUGCAAAUGACAAUGCUUUACUUCUAGCCAAGUCUUUGAGAGGCGCUCUACUUGCGGUUUCGUACUCAUCGGUGGUUUUGUCUGCUUUCACUACUGUGGGAUUAAUCUUACUUGCUAGACGACUUAAAUCAAAGGAAGAGUAAGCUUAUCUUCUUUAGUUUUCUUAACUCUUGUAAAUGUGUUG
rnacentral:misc_RNA from 1 species